UUGGAGGGCAAGUCUGGUGCCAGCAGCCGCGGUAAUUCCAGCUCCAAUAGCGUAUAUUAAAGUUGUUGAGGUUAAAAAGCUCGUAGUUGAACCUUGGGCCUAGCCGGCCGGUCCGCCUCACCGCGUGCACUGGCUCGGCUGGGUCUUUCCUUCUGGAGAACCGCAUGCCCUUCACUGGGUGUGCCGGGGAACCAGGACUUUUACUCUGAACAAAUUAGAUCGCUUAAAGAAGGCCUAUGCUCGAAUACAUUAGCAUGGAAUAAUAGAAUAGG
rnacentral:rRNA from 1 species